GUCAGCCAGAAGUUGCCGGCGACGAGCCUGCAUCGCUUCCUGGUUUCAGGCAGCGCCAUCUCAACUUCUAAGCAGCCGUCACUGGCACACUUGCCUCUUCUGCUCUCCUACUUGCUAAUGCAACCAAGGGAAAAGCAAAACCCGAGUGGAGAGAAGACGGAGGGGGAUGGAUGCAUGAAGACUGGCUGUUCAGGCUGUCACUCCAACCAAAUGAGUGACUUAAUUUGUCACACGUCAUGCAGAUUUGGGGUACUCUGAAGACACAGACUGUGGACCAGACUUCCCACACUAGAGCUCUCAGCCCACACGAAUUUAGAACAACAAGAAUAAAAAGUCCUGAAGACUAUGAGAACACAGAAUGUUCUCCAAAGAAAGCGUCUGCGUUUAUAUUCAAUCCAGAUAUCCAGUACUCCAAAAACACCUUCGUAUUCAAUGUGGAUUAUUUUUAAAUGGAAAUCUAAAGCAAGGGAACAUGACGUUGGUAAAAGAAAAAGUAAU